ensembl:snRNA U6 U6 spliceosomal RNA
GUGUUCACUUUGGCAACACAUACACUAAUAUUGGAACAAUUAGCAUGGCUUCUGCACAAGGAUAACAUGCAAAUUCAUGAAGAUUUCAUAUUUUAA